rnacentral:rRNA from 1 species
UACAGAGGGUGCAAGCGUUGUCCGGAAUCAUUGGGCGUAAAGGGCGCGUAGGUGGCUUCUUAAGCGUGCGGUGAAAGCCUGGGGCUCAACCCCGGGUCGGCCGUGCGAACUGGGGGGCUGGAGCACUGUAGAGGCAGGCGGAAUUCCGGGUGUAGCGGUGGAAUGCGUAGAGAUCCGGAAGAACACCGGUGGCGAAGGCGGCCUGCUGGGCAGUUGCUGACACUGAGGCGCGACAGCGUGGGGAGCAAACAGG